UUUUUUUUUUUUUUUUUUUUUUUUUUUUUUUUUUUUUUUUUUUCUUUCCAAAAGAUGCAGAUGGAAAAAUUAUGAGUUAAUUACUGUUUUCAUCCCUGUGGUUUGUCAAAAAUCACUAUUUCAGUCCAUUAGUUUAAAAAUUGUGAUUUCAGUCCUUGUGGUUUCACUUUUGUAACCAUUUCAGUCCACCUCUUAACCAUUUCAGUUUCUGUACUUACAGAAUAAAUGGAUUAAAAUGGUUACGAAAGUGAAACCACAAGGACUGAAAUGGUUACGAAAGUGAAACCACAGGGACUGAAUUCGAAAUUUUUAAACUAACGGACUGAAAUAGUGAUAUUUGACAAACCACAUGAACGAAAACAGUAAUCAACUCAAAAAUUAUUUACUAAAAUGGGUGCUUUCAAAAUUAUUUACCAAAAUAGGUGAAAACUAGUUAAUUUUUUAUUUUAUAAAAAAAUAGGUAAAACAAUCUUCACUUCUUUCAGCGACGUUCUAUCAUCCUAGAAAAUUUUCAUCAGGUUCAUCAAGACAUUCCAUUCAGUUCUUGGAAUCGAUUCUCAUCCGGUUAUUUUCGUUGUUCGAUAAUCUGCAAGAUUCCAAUUUUCUAGUUCACGAUUUUGCCAUUUGAUUCAUGUGUCAAUGAUUCAUCAGAUUCUGUCGUCCGGUUAUCUGCAUGAUUAUGGCUUUUCUCCUUUAUAGUUUUUGUAAUUGUACCCAAGUGUUUAAUGGUUUUUUAAUAUGUUCGCCUAAUUGCAGCUGAAUGGAAAUUUACUAAUCUUCUAGUAAAUUUGAACACCACAAAGCAUAAAAAAGAACUCAGAGUGAUUAGAUUGUUUAUUUGAUUCGAGCAAAUUUGAACAACGAUGAAAAUAUGUCCUUGUAUGCACUGUCAUUUGGUAAUUAGAUUAACGCAUCAUCAUAAUUGAUUCAAAAUAAGAAUUUUAACGCAAUAUCUCAAUCUAGUUGUAUUAACAAGAUUAAAUUAAAUAAAAAGAAUUAUAAUAACUUAGUUAAAACACAAAAAAGUAAAAUAAAAGAAAAAAAUAUAAUAGGUUAAUUGAAUAAUAAAUAAAAAAAGAAAAGAAUUACAAAUAUAUUAGUUAAAUAAUUAAAUAUGAAAAACACAUAUUUUGGUGAAUAAUUUUGAAAUCACCCAUUUUGGUAAAUACUUUUUUCACCUCCAC
rnacentral:lncRNA from 1 species